rnacentral:lncRNA from 1 species
GGAGAUGGAAGGAUACUGGCAUGGAGGAGAUGAGACAGAGGGAUGCUGGCAUGGAGGAGAGGAGAUGGGAGGAUGCCGAGAGGUAAUACAGGACCUGGAUAUGCAUUGCUGUUGGGAUGGAGGAAUCCACCAAGCUGCUGGUUUCCCUCCAUGCAUGGAUCGCAAGGCCGUUUCCUGAGACAGGCACCGGCGCUGGGCCAGGUUGGUGAGGAAGGUCAGAAAAUCAGUUGUGAAUGUGUUGAGUUCUGGGGGCUGCAAGACCACCAAGCAGAAACAGCACAUGGGCAGUUGUACAUAUUCGGUUUGGGACUCAAAGGAGGGACUGUGACCACGGACGGAUUUGGGAGUCUCCGGGUGUAGGAGGGAGAUGCCCACCUGAGAAAGCAAGCUGAAUAUACAGAAGAGACAAUCCAGCAGGAAUGUUCCUGAACUAGUGGCAGGAGAGGAGACUCAAAAAAGAAAACAAAACUGGGUAGGAAUCAGGCGCUCCUCGUAUGCCAUCUCUAGCUGGCAGACGGACCCCCUGUGAGGACCCGUGUUGCUGUUGAGAAGAUCGUGGAUCCGUUCCAGCAAGUCACCAGAACUGGAAUUCAGCAGAAUUGAUUCCUGAUACUACCACUUCCUUCCUUCUCAAAAUUUUUUUAACUCGGGGGAAGUCCAGUCCAAAAUAGUAGUUCCCAUUUAUUGAGGACUUGUCCUGUACCGGUCUGUGCCAAUUAAGCAUAUUGUACACAGUUAGUCCUCAACUCUGCAAGAUGCCAGUAGCAGCACCCCCUCCUCCCCAGUUGUGACAGCCGAAAAUGUCACCAGACAUUGCCAGAUGACCCUGGGGAGAGCCAAAUCGCUCCACUUGGGAACCGUGGCUCCAGAGCUGGGGAACAGAAGCCACCGCUUGCCUGAG